UGCGAGCGUGACGGCGCGAGCAGGUGCGAAAGCAGGUCAUAGUGAUCCGGUGGUUCUGAAUGGAAGGGCCAUCGCUCAACGGAUAAAAGGUACUCCGGGGAUAACAGGCUGAUACCGCCCAAGAGUUCAUAUCGACGGCGGUGUUUGGCACCUCGAUGUCGGCUCAUCACAUCCUGGGGCUGAAGUAGGUCCCAAGGGUAUGGCUGUUCGCCAUUUAAAGUGGUACGCGAGCUGGGUUUAGAACGUCGUGAGACAGUUCGGUCCCUAUCUGCCGUGGGCGCUGGAGAACUGAGGGGGGCUGCUCCUAGUACGAGAGGACCGGAGUGGACGCAUCACUGGUGUUCGGGUUGUCAUGCCAAUGGCACUGCCCGGUAGCUAAAUGCGGAAGAGAUAAGUGCUGAAAGCAUCUAAGCACGAAACUUGCCCCGAGAUGAGUUCUCCCUGAGACUUUAGGUCUCCUGAAGGAACGUUGAAGACGACGACGUUGAUAGGCCGGGUGUGUAAGCGCAGCGAUGCGUUGAGCUAACCGGUACUAAUGAACCGUGAGGCUUAACCUUACAACGCCGAA
rnacentral:rRNA from 1 species